UACGUAGGGGGCUAGCGUUGUCCGGAUUUAUUGGGCGUAAAGAGCGUGUAGGCGGCCAGGUAGGUCUGCUGUGAAAACUCGAGGCUCAACCUCGAGACGUCGGCGGAAACCAUCUGGCUAGAGUCCGGAAGAGGAGAGUGGAAUUCCUGGUGUAGCGGUGAAAUGCGUAGAUAUCGGGAGGAACACCAGUGGCGAAGGCGACUACCUGGCCUGUUUCUUGACGCUGAGGCGCGAAAGCUAGGGGAGCAAACGGG
rnacentral:rRNA from 1 species